rnacentral:rRNA from 1 species
UACGUAGGGUGCAAGCGUUAAUCGGAAUUACUGGGCGUAAAGCGUGCGCAGGCGGUUUUGUAAGUCUGACGUGAAAGCCCCGGGCUCAACCUGGGAAUUGCGUUGGAGACUGCAAGGCUUGAAUCUGGCAGAGGGGGGUAGAAUUCCACGUGUAGCAGUGAAAUGCGUAGAGAUGUGGAGGAACGCCGAUGGCGAAGGCAGCCCCCUGGGUCAAGAUUGACGCUCAUGCACGAAAGCUAGGGGAGCGAAUGGG